UUUACUACAGUGAGGAUAUUACUUCAAUAAUUAUGUAAGAGAUAAAAUCACAAAGUAACUUCAUGAAAUUACCGUUUACUGUAUCUUAAAGUAUAGUUCAAGUCUUAAUGAUCAAAUUUUUAUGUAAAAAAUUGGGGUCAAACUAUACAUGCAUAAUAUUUUUGAGGGGUUACAAUUUAUGCAUUUCCAUGGGUCAUUUACAGUGAAUGAUAGUACCUGGUGCAGUACGCGCUUAUGGUAGGUUAACCUUACCAGUAAGCUCCUUUAUCCUGGGCUUGCCUACCUACCCCAAGAUCCUAUGUGGCUACAGGAAGAGCAGAACCUUUCACUAUACAGUAUAUGCUGGUUUAAAUAUACAAAUGCCUGAUAGAAUUGGUUUAGAUAUUUUUCUUUGCAUCUGUUUAAAUUACUGGGAGAUUAUCAACUUUCCCCACCUGUGAGCUGUAUGCUAUGUUAUGGUCAGAGUGAGGGAAGAUUGGACUAAAGUUAAUUGAGAGGGAAGACUGCUGGAGACAUAAUUGAAGAGUAUUACAGUGAGGGUGGGAAGGCUGGUGAUAUGAAUUAAAACUAUUCUCAAGUAAUGUAUAUGUGGGAGAAACUUGACUAGAACAUAAGACUUUACUGUACUGUAGCAGAAGAAGAGUGAGGAAACACCUUAGGAUAGACUGAAGUUUUAUACAAGCAAAGGAAGGAUAUGUGCCACUUAAUCUGCACUGGAUUAUUUUUUUAAUUUCUUCCACAUCCUAGGUUUAGGUUUCACUUCUUCAGAACUCAACCAUAAAGAGAGUCACCUAUCAACUGGAAUCAACUGAAUCUGACCAUCUUUCCCCGACCUUUAGGACGGGGUUGGAAGGAGGCAUAAGGUCGAGCAUGACAACCAUUACUGGUGUUGGCUGGGCAGAAGCCGUCACUUGUGCACCAAGAUGUCUUCACGUUUUAGCUCUCUGGUCUGUAGUCUCAAAUGUAAAGUAUGUUGAAUAUUUCUCCUAAGUUAAGAUGCAAGGUUGUAUCUGAUUGUGUGAUUCAAGGUGAUGGAAUCUCAAAGGUAUGUUGAAUAUUUCUUAUAAAUUAAGAUGUAAAAAUGUAUCUGAUUGGUGACAUAAGAUACAACAUUGGUCAAGGAUGAGUUGUCCUAAUUUAUUUAGUAUGGAUCAGGAAGCUGAUUCUAGGACUGUAGUUAGCCUGAUUAAAACUCGGGCCUUCGUUGAUGAGCAGCAGCAAUUUGACAGUAAUUACAUAAGAUCAUCGGAAUCGUCUUAGUGAUGUGCAAACCGAUAAAGGAUUUUUUAAUGCUAGAUGCGAUUGUAUUUUUUAAAACUCAAUCUCCACUGAGUUGGAGGUACAGCCCAGGUCAAGAGGCCUACAACCACAAAAUCUUUGUCAUAAGACAAUUUUUUUUUUU